GUGCUCACUUCGGCAGCACAUAUACUAAAAUUGGAACAAUACAGAGAAGAUUAACAUGGCUUCUGUGCAAGGAUGACAUGCAAAUUCGUGAAGCAUUCCAUAUUAAA
ensembl:snRNA U6 U6 spliceosomal RNA